rnacentral:rRNA from 1 species
AGCAGUCGCCGCGGUAAUACGUAGGGUGCAAGCGUUAAUCGGAAUUACUGGGCGUAAAGCGUGCGCAGGCGGUUAUAUAAGACAGAUGUGAAAUCCCCGGGCUCAACCUGGGAACUGCAUUUGUGACUGUAUAGCUAGAGUACGGCAGAGGGGGAUGGAAUUCCGCGUGUAGCAGUGAAAUGCGUAGAUAUGCGGAGGAACACCGAUGGCGAAGGCAAUCCCCUGGGCCUGUACUGACGCUCAUGCACGAAAGCGUGGGGAGCAAACAGGAUUAGAUACCCCGGUAGUCCCUGUCUCUUAUAA